AGUGCAUGUUAAGACACAACCUCAGUAUCAGCUUACUGUGCGUGAUGUUGAUAUAAAACCUCCUAUUCCAAAAAAAGGAGUACAAAGGAUUAAAGUUAAACCAGCUGCAACAGUAUACAACUUUGUUACAUCAGAAGAAGAGGAAGAAGAGCCUAAAGGAGAUGAAAAUGACAAGCCACAGAGUCAUUCUUCUGGGACUGGCAAUUCAAAUGGAACCAAGACAGUACCAGAACAAGUAA